AUUGAACGCUGGCAGCAGGCCUAACACAUGCAAGUCGAGCGGAUGAAGGGAGCUUGCUCCUGGAUUCAGCGGCGGACGGGUGAGUAAUGCCUAGGAAUCUGCCUGGUAGUGGGGGAUAACGUCCGGAAACGGGCGCUAAUAUCGCAUACGUCCUGAGGGAGAAAGUGGGGGAUCUUCGGACCUCACGCUAUCAGAUGAGCCUAGGUCGGAUUAGCUAGUUGGUGGGGUAAAGGCCUACCAAGGCGACGAUCCGUAACUGGUCUGAGAGGAUGAUCAGUCACACUGGAACUGAGACACGGUCCAGACUCCUACGGGAGGCAGCAGUGGGGAAUAUUGGACAAUGGGCGAAAGCCUGAUCCAGCCAUGCCGCGUGUGUGAAGAAGGUCUUCGGAUUGUAAAGCACUUUAAGUUGGGAGGAAGGGCAGUAAGUUAAUACCUUGCUGUUUUGACGUUACCAACAGAAUAAGCACCGGCUAACUUCGUG
rnacentral:rRNA from 1 species